GUUCUUGAUGCUCAGUGGUUAGAGCAUCUAACUGGCAUUGUGGAGGUUGUGGGUUCGAUUUCCACCUGGAACU
rnacentral:tRNA from 1 species